GCUUCAGUGUUUUCAGCUAUCCGCUUCAGUGUUUUCAGCUAUCCGCUUCAGUGUUUUCAGCUAUCUGUUUCAGUGUUUUCAGCUAUCUGCUUCAGUGUUUUCAGCUAUCCGCUUCAGUGUUUUCAGCUAUCCGCUUCAGUGUUUUCAGCUAUCUGUUUCAGUGUUUUCAGCUAUCCGCUUCAGUGUUUUCAGCUAUCUGUUUCAGUGUUUUCAGCUAUCUGCUUCAGUGUUUUCAGCUACCCGCUUCAGUGUUUUCCGCUAUCAGCUUAAAUGUUUUCAGCUAUCAGCUUUUAGUGUUUUCAGCUAUCAGCUUCAGUGUUUUCAGCUAUCCGCUUCAGUGUUUUCAGCUAUCUGCUUCAGUGUUUUCAGCUACCAGCUUCAGUGUUUUCAGCUACUCGCUUCAGUGUUUUCAGUUAUCAGUUUAAAUGUUUUCAGCUAUCCGUUUCAGUGUUUUCAGCUUCAGUGUUUUCAGCUUCAGUGUUUUCAGCUAUCCGUUACAGUGUUUUCAGCUAUCUGUUUCAGUGUUUUCAGCUAUCUGCUUCAGUGUUUUCAGCUACCCGCUUCAGUGUUUUCCGCUAUCAGCUUAAAUGUUUUCAGCUAUCAGCUUUUAGUGUUUUCAGCUAUCAGCUUCAGUGUUUUCAGCUAUCCGCUUCAGUGUUUUCAGCUAUCAGCUUCAGUGUUUUCAGCUACUCGCUUCAGUGUUUUCAGUUAUCAGUUUAAAUGUUUUCAGCUAUCCGUUUCAGUGUUUUCAGCUAUCCGUUUCAGUGUUUUCAGCUUCAGUGUUUUCAGCUUCAGUGUUUUUAGCUAUCUGUUACAGAGUUUUCAGCUUCAGCGUUUUCAGCUACCAGCUUCAGUGUUUUCAGCUACCAGCUUCAGUGUUUUCAGCUACUCGCUUCAGUGUUUUCAGUUAUCAGUUUAAAUGUUUUCAGCUAUCCGUUUCAGUGUUUUCAGCUUCAGCGUUUUCAGCUAUCACCAGCUGCGUUUACAGGUGCAAAAUGUCCUGGCUCAGAUCAAAGAUCAGAUUAUGGUCCCUGAAAAACUUCAUCUGAUUGUAACGAACGUUUUCAUGCAUGGUUGAUCAGAAUAAAU
rnacentral:lncRNA from 1 species